GAACGCUGGCGGCGUGCCUAAUACAUGCAAGUCGAGCGAACAGACGAGGAGCUUGCUCCUCUGACGUUAGCGGCGGACGGGUGAGUAACACGUGGAUAACCUACCUAUAAGACUGGGAUAACUUCGGGAAACCGGAGCUAAUACCGGAUAAUAUAUUGAACCGCAUGGUUCAAUAGUGAAAGACGGUUUUGCUGUCACUUAUAGAUGGAUCCGCGCCGCAUUAGCUAGUUGGUAAGGUAACGGCUUACCAAGGCAACGAUGCGUAGCCGACCUGAGAGGGUGAUCGGCCACACUGGAACUGAGACACGGUCCAGACUCCUACGGGAGGCAGCAGUAGGGAAUCUUCCGCAAUGGGCGAAAGCCUGACGGAGCAACGCCGCGUGAGUGAUGAAGGUCUUCGGAUCGUAAAACUCUGUUAUUAGGGAAGAACAAAUGUGUAAGUAACUAUGCACGUCUUGACGGUACCUAAUCAGAAAGCCACGGCUAACUACG
rnacentral:rRNA from 1 species